ACUGCUCAGUAACACGUGGACAACCUGCCCAAAGGUCCGGGAUAACCCCGGGAAACUGGGGAUAAUACCGGAUAAAUCACAGGUACUGGAAGGUCUUGUGGUUGAAACUUCCGGGGCCUUUGGAUGGGUCUGCGGCGGAUUAGGUUGUUGCCGGUGUAACGUACCGUCAAGCCUGUAAUCCGUACGGGUUGUGGGAGCAAGAGCCCGGAGAUGGAUUCUGAGACACGAAUCCAGGCCCUACGGGGCGCAGCAGGCGCGAAAACUCUACAAUGCAGGCAACUGCGAUAGGGGAACAUCGAGUGAUACUCAUCUUGGGUGUCUGUCCUCCCGUCUAAAAAACGGGAGUUAGCAAGGGCCGGGCAAGACCGGUGCCAGCCGCCGCGGUAAUACCGGCGGCUCGAGUGGUGGCCGAUAUUAUUGAGUCUAAAGGGUCCGUAGCCGGCUUUGCAAGUCUUUUGGGAAAUCCAGCGGCUUAACCGUUGGUCGUCCGGGAGAUACUACAUUGCUUGGGACUGGGAGAGGUAGGAGGUACUCAGGGGGUAGGAGUGAAAUCCUGUAAUCCUUUGGGGACCACCGGUGGCGAAGGCGUCCUACCAGAACAGGUCCGACGGUGAGGGACGAAAGCUAGGGGCACGAACCGGAUUAGAUACCCGGGUAGUCCUAGCCGUAAACGAUGCUCGCUAGGUGUCACAACAAUCGUGAAUUGUUGUGGUGCCGUAGGGAAGCCGUGAAGCGAGCCACUUGGGAAGUACGACCGCAAGGUUGAAACUUAAAGGAAUUGGCGGGGGAGCAC
rnacentral:rRNA from 1 species